AUGUUUAGGAAGAUGUUCCAAGGUGGUUCCUCUAAGAAGCAAGGACCCAGGAUUGCUAUGCGCGAUGCUGACGAGGAUCCACCAAGAGACGCUCCAGUACGGCCUUGCGAAUGGCCGUCGGAAAAUUUUAUGGACCAUGCGGGAAUCAAAGAAGAAUUCAAAGCAUAUUUGCGCAAUGCCGGUCUUGAGGAUUUUGAGGCUAACAAAUGCCCCCAGUAUCAUGAUCUCACAAGUUCAUUUCUGAGGAGGUUUGAGUAUUCAUCUUCGCGUAAUUCUCCUUCAGUCAUGUUUGAUCUUUAUGACAAAUCUUAUACCAUGGACCUAGAGGAUUUCACUUCUGCUUGCGAACUUCCAUCAUGGGGCAGUAUUAGGGAUCCCCCUAAAUCUGAAUUUAGAAACUUUCUUGCUAGUAUAACUGUGGGGGAAUCCAGAGACAUAACGUAG
rnacentral:rRNA from 1 species